GAUGAACGCUAGCUACAGGCUUAACACAUGCAAGUCGAGGGGAAACGACAUCGGAAGCUUGCUUUUGAUGGGCGUCGACCGGCGCACGGGUGAGUAACGCGUAUCCAACCUGCCCACCACUUGGGGAUAACCUUGCGAAAGUAAGACUAAUACCCAAUGACGUCUCUAGAAGACAUCUGAAAGGGAUUAAAGAUUUAUCGGUGAUGGAUGGGGAUGCGUCUGAUUAGCUUGUUGGCGGGGUAACGGCCCACCAAGGCGACGAUCAGUAGGGGUUCUGAGAGGAAGGUCCCCCANAUUGGAACUGAGACACGGUCCAAACUCCUACGGGAGGCAGCAGUGAGGAAUAUUGGUCAAUGGGCGAGAGCCUGGAACCCAGCCAAGUAGCGUGCAGGAUGACGGCCCUAUGGGUUG
rnacentral:rRNA from 1 species